GGGCCCGCACAAGCAGUGGAGUAUGUGGUUUAAUUCGAAGCAACGCGAAGAACCUUACCAGGGCUUGACAUACAGACGGAUGGUGUGGAAACACAUCAGACCUUCGGGACGUCUGUACAGGUGGUGCAUGGUUGUCGUCAGCUCGUGUCGUGAGAUGUUGGGUUAAGUCCCGCAACGAGCGCAACCCCUGUUGUUAGUUGCCAUCAUUAAGUUGGGCACUCUAACGAGACUGCCGGUGACAAAUCGGAGGAAGGUGGGGACGACGUCAAAUCAUCAUGCCCCUUAUGUCCUGGGCUACACACGUACUACAAUGGCUAUUACAGCAGGAAGCGAAGGAGUAAUCCGGAGCAGAUCCCAAAAAAUAGUCCCAGUUCGGAUUGUGGGCUGCAACUCGCCCACAUGAAGUCGGAAUUGCUAGUAAUGGCAGGUCAGCAUACUGCCGUGAAUACGUUCCCGGGCCUU
rnacentral:rRNA from 1 species